rnacentral:tRNA from 1 species
GGAAGAAUAGCUUAGUAUGGUUAGAGCACAAGCUUGUCACGCUUGAGGUCGCGGGUUCAAUUCCCGUUUCUUCCG